rnacentral:misc_RNA from 1 species
GAUGAAGAACGUAGCGAAAUGCGAUACUUGGUGUGAAUUGCAGAAUCCCGUGAACCAUCGAGUCUUUGAACGCAAGUUGCGCCUCAAGCCAUUAGGUUGAGGGCACGUCUGCCUGGGCGUCACAUAUCGUUGACUGAUGCCAGUUUCCUCGUGAUGGGUGACUGUGCAGGGCGAAUGAUGGCUUCCCGUGAGCAUUGUUGCCUCAUGGUUGGUUGAAAAUUGAGUCCUUGGUAGGGAGCGCCGUGAUAGAUGGUGGUUGAGUGACGAACGAGACCCAAUCAUGUGAGACCCCUACCGAAUUUGGCCUUCAUGACCCACAUGCGUCUUUGGAACGCUCAUGACGAGACCUCAGGUCAGGCGGGGCUACCCGCUGAGUUUAAGCAUAUCAAUAAGCGGAGGA